GACAAUAACUGCACAAUUCAAAUUGUGCCCAUUUUCCAGUUGGCCGAACUGAUACCCAGGCUGAUAAGCUAAAGCGCCCAAGGUGACACAGUGCGCAGAUGGCAAAGCCCCAACUGCAACUGCGCCACUUGUUCUGCAGGGCGCCUGCUGCCCAGGACCUGGAAGGGUCGCCGCCCCAGCUCUCACCAGCCCCAGGAAGGCCGCGUACAGGAUCGCGGUGGUGAACCAGCGCAGCACGCUCGCGGCCCGGCCGCUGGGCGGGGAGACCCGCACCGUCUCCAGUUCAUCCUUUGCCGGGACGUCGGCCUGGAGGAGCCCCUGCCCCGCAGCCGCUGCCCCGGCACCAUGCAACUCCAGUUCCAGCUCCAGCUCGGCGGCUCUGAAAUGGUCUUGCUGAGAUUGCUUUUCAUCUGAGCUUCGGGUGUUCCAAGGUGAGACCUCUGAGGCCAGGGGACCCUCGCCAGCGGCGGAGCCAACCGAAGCUGCAGCCUCGGAACAACAAAUUCCGGGGGUGAGAGGCCACCAAACCUUCAAGAGGAAAUAUGAGCCAAGGGCGGAACCUUGUGUGGGCUCUCCCUGUCCGGGAGCUGAGGGAAUGGGAGGAUCUCGCCUUGCAGACUUUCCAAAAUCCCUUCUCCUCCUCCUUUCGAGAUAUGAGGUUUCUAGGUCUAUCCCAGAAAAGCAUCUUUUACUCCAUAAAUUCUUGUUGAAACUCCUGUGUAAGCUUUCACAUUGUGCUCAGUUAAUUUAAAAUUUUAACACUCACAAUAACACUCUGAAAUCCACCAUAGUCCCCAAAGUACAGAUUGGAGGACUAAGACAGAAGGAAUAAGUAACAGUGUGCUCGGGGGUCAGUCGAAUCAGUGGCAACUGGUGACGGGUGACCAAAAGAAGGUCAGGAAAGAAAUCAGCUCUACAGCUGCGGUCCCAAUCCCACAUCUGCUCAAUUCCUGCAGUUUAAUUCCCGUGUUGUAAAGAAAUGAAGAAGGACAGUGGUUUGGGGGAUUGCUGAGUAAAGUUCUACCUGAUGAGAAAGAAAGAAGUUUAUUCGAUACCAGUUUUAGUUUCUGUUUUCUUUUGCUUUUUAGCCUACCAGAGCACAUCUCAAAAUGUGAUGUAAAUGUUUGUCUUUAUCCUCCCUCUGAAAUGUUUUUUUUCACCUGAUGUCUAUUUCCCUCCCUCCCUCUCCCUCCCUCCCUCUUUCC
rnacentral:lncRNA from 1 species